CGUUUCACUUGACAAUGCAUUAGUGAUAGGGCUUGAGAUUGUGGUGUUGACUUUAGGGGUUUGUUGGAUUAAUUCAAGGCUGUACUUGAUUUAAGAUGCAAAUGAACGUUAAGUCAAUCUAGAUACGUCAAACGCAUCUCAACUGUGAUAUUCUAACAAAUCGCAGGAGUGGUGUUACCUUUCUACGCACGUUGAAAAAGCGGUCGUAGCUGCAGCUUUGGAUCUCCGUUUUACGAGAAAUGGUAUGUUGCUAGGAAGCAGGUAUGAAUUAGUCAACUGUAGCAAAGUCGAAGAAGAAGUCAUCUGGUCCUAAACUGGACCUGAAUGAAGAACAGAAGUCUGAUAUCAGAGAAGCCUUUGAUUUAUUUGAUACAGAAGGAACUGGAACAAUAGAUUCAAAGGAUUUGAAGGUAGCCUUGCGAGCCCUAGGAUUUGAACCCAGGAAAGAAGAAAUAAAGAAAAUGGUUGCAGAGGUUGACAAGGACAACUCUGGUAAAAUAUGUUUCGACGAUUUUCUGGCGUUGAUGACUUCGAAAAUGGCAGAAAAAGAUACCAAAGAGGAAAUACUGAAGGCCUUCCGUUUGUUCGAUGACGACGAAACCGGAAAAAUAUCAUUCAAGAAUCUCAAACGUGUCUCGGAAGAACUCGGAGAGAAUCUCACCGAUGAAGAGCUACAGGAGAUGAUUGAGGAGGCCGACCUCGACGGGGACAGCGAAAUCAACCAGGAUGAGUUCCUGCGAAUCAUGAAAAAGACGAGUCUGUACUGAAACGCUCGUCACUUGUGAAAGGCUGCUUCCAUUCCAGCUGUUUUCAAAUGCUGCCACCGCGCUAUCGUGUGUUCGACAUGCUUUUGACUAGUGUCAUGUGUUGCGAGCCUGUUGUGGCUCUGCAAUUUCAUUUUGCUUUGUUUCCAUUUGUAUUGUUGUCGAUCAUGGUUUCUCCCUUAUUCGUCGUCUCGCAAUUACCGUUUGCCUGAUACGUGCUAGUCAUGUUACGGUUGCCUUUUUAGUUCAUUGGUAGUUCAGAAGGAAUGCUGGCGUUGUGUUGAGGUGGCACUGAUUUGUAAAACAGUGUUACAUUAUUUUUUAUGACCAUUUCGGUAGUUAGACGUGCACGUUCGGAGAAAAACGAACUUUUUUGUUGGUUAAUUGUAAUCGGAAUGCAUCGUGAGGCAUUCAUUUUUCAUUUAUAAUUAAUUAUUGGGAUCGUUCUUUUCAAAAUUUAUGUUUGUGCGCAACGCAGGCUGCAGUGCGUAAGUUUGGUGACUGCUUUCUUUUGUCGUAUUGGUAUUUAAACAACGAUGACGGUAUGAUAGGACUAGGCUCGACAGAUGUGCCCAAUAUUUUUGUGAUGUGAUUUACAUAUCUCGCUCUAUUCAAUAUCAUCCGCAUUGUGAUCUCUCCGCAUCAUGUGACUGCUUGAGCUCCGUCAUUCAAAUAAAGCCAGUUCUUCACA